CACGUAGGGGGCAAGCGUUGUCCGGAUUUAUUGGGCGUAAAGAGCUCGUAGGUGGUUCGAUAAGUCGGGUGUGAAACCUCCAGGCUCCAACCUGGAGACGCCACCCGGAUACUGUCGUGACUAGAGUCCAGUAGGGGAGCGUGGAAUUCCUGGUGUAGCGGUGAAAUGCGCAGAUAUCAGGAGGAACACCAGCGGCGAAGGCGGCGCUCUGGGCUGGCACUGACACUGAGGAGCGAAAGCGUGGGGAGCGAACAGG
rnacentral:rRNA from 1 species